CUGGGAUUAAACAAUGUUUUCCACAUGCUUCACAGAGCAUCAGAAAAUUUCUUUGAAGAAGAAAUGAUAGAACACAGGUUCUGGAUAGACACAUUAUUGUGAUUGAUGUUCCUUUUCCAGAGCCAGACUUUAAACUUCACGAGAAUAUUAGUCAGUACCCUGUGAGUUGGGGAUGUCUCGCCUUCUUUGUGGGAUGUGACUAAAACAGGGCAGGAAGACCUAGACAAGGAACUGCUUGAUCAUUGGCUGAGCGAUCCUGGCAACAACACACUGCAACAGAUACCUGCACUGGUUGUAAGUCUCUAACAGCAACAGUUGUUUCUGUUCUCUGGAAACAAGCCUAGGAGCAGACACAAGUGUGAGCUCUGAGCCCACAAUCCUGGUUUGUCCUUGAAGUAUGAGGCUGGUGAUUGGAAUAACUGUUUUUCUGACCUUGGGGACUGUGAUUAAUGCUAAGACCACCCAGCCCAGCUCCAUGGAUUGUGCCGAAGGAGAGGAUGUAAACCUGCCUUGUAACCACUCUACCAUUGGUGGAAAUGACUAUAUCCAUUGGUAUCGGCAAAAUCCCAAUCAGAGUCCACAGUAUGUCAUUCAUGGCUUAAGAGGCACAGUGAACAGCAGCAUGGCCUCUCUGACCAUAGCUUCAGACAGAAAGUCCAGCACCUUGGUCCUGCCCCAGCUCACCCUGAGAGACGCUGCUGUGUACUACUGCGUCCUGAGAGAGGCACACUGGGACAGACGGGGCUGCACCUGUGCAGUAUCUCUGGUGGGAAGAUGGGGGGGCAUAGUUGGGGGAGCCGUCACGAGAGCAAAUCUAGAAUCAUUUGGAAGGAGAAUCAGAAGAGCAGUAAGACAUGAGGGAAAUGAAGGGAAGAGAAAUGGAAGAAGAUGGAUAAGGAAAAGAAGAGAAAGAGGACAAGGAAGAAGUGCUUCAUUGGUUGAUGUGGCUAUGAAUGAUAAGGAAACUAAGAAUCAUAAUUUUAACACAGGAAUAAAGUGA